rnacentral:rRNA from 1 species
AUCAUGGCUCAGGAUGAACGCUAGCUACAGGCUUAACACAUGCAAGUCGCGGGGUAACAUCUGGUAGAGCUUGCUCUUCCAGGAUGACGACCGGCGCACGGGUGAGUAACGCGUAUCCAACCUGGGCCCCAUACCACGGGAUAGCCCGUCGAAAGGCGGACUAAUCCCCCCAUAGUCCCGGAGGCUGCAUGGCCUGCGGGGGAAAGGCCAGCCGGUAGGGGAUGGGCAUGCGGCGCAUUAGCUAGUUGGCGGGGCAACGGCCCACCAAGCCGACGAUGGAUAGGGGUUCUGAGAGGAAGGUCCCCCACACUGGUACUGAGACACGGACCAGACUCCUACGGGAGGCAGCAGUGAGGAAUAUUGGUCAAUGGGCGAGAGCCUGAACCAGCCAAGUAGCGUGCAGGAAGACGGCCCUAUGGGUUGUAAACUGCUUUUAUGCGGGGAUAAAGUGGGCCACGCGUGGCCUUUUGCAGGUACCGCAUGAAUAAGGACCGGCUAAUUCCGUG